UGCCAGCCGCCGCGGUAAUACGGAGGGUGCGAGCGUUAAUCGGAAUUACUGGGCGUAAAGGGUUCGUAGGUGGUUAGAUAAGUCAGAUGUGAAAGCCCAGGGCUCAACCUUGGAAUUGCAUUUGAAACUGUUUAACUAGAGUUUACUAGAGGAUUGGGGAAUUUCCGGUGUAGCGGUGAAAUGCGUAGAGAUCGGAAAGAACAUCAAUGGCGAAGGCAACAAUCUGGGGUUAAACCGACACUGAGGGACGAAAGCGUGGGUAGCAAACAGGAUUAGAUA
rnacentral:rRNA from 1 species